UGCAUCAUAUGGUAUCUGCGCUCAACAGUUUAUUCCAGCUGAUGUGUUCAUGGACCAAUGCAGUAGAAAUUCAGUAGCUGGCAUUGUUAGUUUUCUUGCCUUUAUUUUAUGCAUGUUAAACUUGCUAUUUCUAUUGAAAGAGUA